GACGAACGCUGGCGGCGUGCUUAACACAUGCAAGUCGAACGGUAAGGCCCUUCGGGGUACACAAGUGGCGAACGGGUGAGUAACACGUGGGUGAUCUGCCCUGCACUCCGGGAUAAGCCUGGGAAACUGGGUCUAAUACCGGAUAGGACCCUGGGAUGCAUGUCCUGGGGUGGAAAGCUUUUGCGGUGUGGGAUGGGCCCGCGGCCUAUCAGCUUGUUGGUGGGGUGAUGGCGUACCAAGGCGACGACGGGUAGCCGGCCUGAGAGGGUGACCGGCCAGACUGGGACUGAGAUACGGCCCAGACUCCUACGGGAGGCAGCAGUGGGGAAUAUUGCGCAAUGGGCGCAAGCCUGAUGCAGCGACGCCGCGUGAGGGAUGACGGCCUUCGGGUUGUAAACCUCUUUCAGCACCGACGAAGCGCAAGUGACGGUAGGUGCAGAAGAAGGACCGGCCAACUACGUGCCAGCCGCCGCCGUAA
rnacentral:rRNA from 1 species